GGGCGGUUAGCUCAGCGGUAGAGCAUUGUCUUCACACGGCAAGGGUCACAGGUUCGAUCCCUGUACCGCCCACCA
rnacentral:tRNA from 1 species